rnacentral:rRNA from 1 species
UACGUAGGGGGCAAGCGUUAUCCGGAAUUACUGGGUGUAAAGGGUGAGUAGGCGGCAUGGUAAGCCAGAUGUGAAAGCCAUGGGCUUAACCCGAGGAUUGCAUUUGGAACUAUCAAGCUAGAGUACAGGAGAGGAAAGCGGAAUUCCUAGUGUAGCGGUGAAAUGCGUAGAUAUUAGGAAGAACACCAGUGGCGAAGGCGGCUUUCUGGACUGAAACUGACGCUGAGGCACGAAAGCGUGGGGAGCGAACAGG